ensembl:Y_RNA Y_RNA Y RNA
GGCUGAUCCGAAGGUAGCAAGUUAUCUCAAUUGAUUGUUCAUAGUCAGUUACAGAUGGAACUCCUUGUUCUACUCUUUCCCCCUUCUCGCUACUGCACUUGACUAAAAA